UAGGGGAGGAAAGAUAGGGGAGGAAAGCCUGGCCCUGAUGGGACAUCUAUUCAAUGGCGUGUUCCAGUGACAUGAAGCAAAGGGGAUGAGACUGAGCGUGGCUGAGGACAGGUGUACUCCAACAUGAAAACGGAGCAUGCAUGUGAGCUGAGUAGUGACAUGCAACAUGCAUGUCCAUUGAUCCUUGCUGCUCAUUCACAUACAGUGUUCGCGAUGCCCCCUGGACACAGAAUUCCAGUGGACCCACCACGUGUGGGGAUUCAGGGGAGACUCAAAGCAAAUACAAGGAAAAAAGGCCCUUGGAUAUUCUAUUGUCUGCACUGAUUGAGGCAACGAGAAAGCUAAUGGAAAUAGUGGAUCUUGAGAUGAACAAGACAUACCCCUAAUUCGUAAGACACCCGAGGUCUAGUGGAAAAACAAAUCCCUAAAGCAGUAGUAAAACCGCAGUCAUGAUAAAAUGGAAGAAGCAACAGGAUUGUACCCACCUAUAACGAGAAAGCUUAACUUACUGACAUAUUCUCAUUGCUGAAGACUCUGUCUGAAUGAGGAUUUCAAUCUCAAGUCUAGGAUGUGAUUUCAUCUGGUGAAGGGGAGAGGCAGACACGGAAGAAGCGCAUCUGUAGCUAAGAAAGAAAUACACUGACCCCAUUUCCAGUGGUUGAGCUUCUCUCCAAGUAGGUAGAUGCUGGCGAUGAAGACGUAGCUGAGAGAGAAGAAAGCUGCUAGACCCAAGAGGCUGAGUUUGGCAAACACAGGAUACACCCAGGCAUUUUGGUUGAAUAAGAACUAAGGUUUGAACAGGAAAGAUGAGAAGAGCAGGAGAUGAGAUACCCUCUCCUCUCCUAGUCCUCCACCUCCAUCCCUCUUCAGUUUGGAUCCUGGCUGGGCUGGACCCCGCAUGUUGACAACAAGGAUGUGUUGUGUGGCAUCUUUUUAAUUAAUUUUCAUAUAUGAAUUUACAGGUAGGGUAAGGAUUUCUUCUGUGGAAAAUGGUGCUGAGAUUCCAAUCCCUGCUGAGUUGAGGUUAUAAAGCUAUGGUUGACCUGGAUGAUCUCAGUUGAAGGUCAUAUUUUGGAAACGGUAACAGUGGCUCUGGUAGGGAGUUCACAACAUGGUUGGUUCUGAGCAGGACCAACCAUGUGUUAGGGAAAAUAUUUAUUCAAUAGAAAAAUGAAUAAAAACCAGAAAGAGAAGAAGAGAAUUGCUGAUUCUGGAAAUGGCAAGGUGGCUGGUCCUGGAACUCAGCUUAGUCCACCCCUUGGCAGUUUUUAAUGUAUUCUCAGGGUAAGAUGUGUACAUGUAUUUGUAAAUGAGGCAUGAAUUUAAAGAACUGUUACUUCUGGGAACCCAGGAAGCUUUGCUGAGGGAUCUUACCCUGGAGAGCACAGUAUAAAAGAAAGUAAUUCUCUCUCUUGCCUCAUAGCAACUACUUUGGGGAAGGGACUUUACAAACAUCUGCCCCAAGGCUGGGUGACAGCUGCAUAUCUGUGCAGUGUUUGUACGGGGCAUGCAAUACUUUACACACUAGCAGGGACACCUGCAGCAUCAGUAGGUUUCUGGUCUACCAAGAGCAGUGUGAUGAUGCACUCCAGGCCAGCUGGGGUGGUUGCUGUGGCGAGUAACAUUGUUAAUUCUACCAACACAGGGGGCUGAUGGGUAAAUGACACUGUUGGCAUCAGCAGUGGGCAUGGUGUGCUAACCCUUAACACUGUGCCAGGUGGGGAUGUUGGACCCAGUGGGGAUUACAGUUUUGCUAUCUGUGUGUAAGAACAAUGCUCAGAACAGUGUGCAGCAUGGGUUGUGCAGUGCACGACAGGGGCAUGUGUGAGCACUCAGCAGAUUAUUGGAACUCCUUGGAAAACUGGACCAAGACCUCCAAGGCAGAAGGGUGCUUGGGGAUAUCACUGGAACUGUGAAAUAACCAUACAUAAAAACUAAGACAUUGUGAUCAAAGUACAUAAUGUGCUGGCUAGUUUUUAUUUUUAUAUUGGUUUAUAUUUUAUUUUGUUUCCCAUCUCUUGUCACUCCAACUUAUUUGAAGCACUAUUGUCAAGAAUGACAUUUUAAAGCAUAAUUUGCUGGCCAAGUUACAAAUACUGCUCACCCUUGCUUCCACUCCAAACAAACAAACAAACAACAGCAACAACAAAUGCUCCCAUUUUCUAUACUAUGUCCAACAUCCUCUAGUCUGCCAUCUGCAAGCCUUCAUGAGUGGGUAGUUCCAGGGAUAUUUCUCAUUAGUCUCUUUCACAAACAGGUCCAGCAAAGAGAAUUACUGACCCUUGCUCUCACGCUUUCUGCACUCUCCUGGCCUUGGGACUGUGCUCCUUUUGUUUACCUUCUCUCAUUUUUUCUAGCUCCAAUCCUGCCGGUCCUUCAGGGCUCAGAUCCAAUGCAUGCCUUCCACAGUGCCCUUCCCACACCGCUCAGCUGGAUGCAAACUCUUCCUUUUCUGUGGCUCCUUGUGUUUUUUUUAUGAGGUUUUACCACUUUCCAUCUUCUGCACUUAUAAUUUGUAUGCAUGGGUCAUCUCCACUUAUUAAGGAUAAACCCCCUGCAGGCUGAAGCUUGGCCUGAUAUAACAUUGCUUUUCUGGGCAGGACCAACCAUGUGUUAGGGAAAAUAUUUAUUCA
rnacentral:lncRNA from 1 species